rfam:Caulobacter vibrioides strain T5M6 contig_51, whole genome shotgun sequence.
CGGAGUGUGGCUCAGUCUGGUAGAGCACUGCGUUCGGGACGCAGGGGUCGCAGGUUCAAAUCCUGCCACUCCGA